UUAAAUUGAAGAGUUUGAUCAUGGCUCAGAUUGAACGCUGGCGGCAGGCUUAACACAUGCAAGUCGAACGGUAACAUGAGUGCUUGCACUUGAUGACGAGUGGCGGACGGGUGAGUAAUGUAUGGGGAUCUGCCGAAUGGAGGGGGACAACAGUUGGAAACGACUGCUAAUACCGCAUAAUGUUGAGAAACCAAAGCAUGGGACCUUCGGGCCAUGCGCCAUUUGAUGAACCCAUAUGGGAUUAGCUAGUUGGUAGGGUAAAG
rnacentral:rRNA from 1 species